GAAAUGUGUGAACAAAAAAAAAGUCUGCGGGAAUUUAUAUAAACAAAUCUGAAGAAACUGACUAGAAAAAUCUGUGUUUUACAGACAAAUUUGCACAUUUAGUAUUCGUGAUGUUACUAAAAACUUAGUUCGAGUCAUGCUCGGGUUACAGCAGGAAGAUAAUCGCUGUCAAAAAACGACAAAUGUCGGUUUCAUCUGUUUCGACCGAUUUUUAGUGUAGUAUUCGUUUCUUCCUCCCAGGUCUUGGUUUGCACUAUGAUCAGGAAGUGCCGCAUGUACAGAAAUAUCUGUGUUAUACCCAAUUUUAGAUUCCAGGUUGCUACGAUGUGCACAUAAAACUCGUCGUUUAUUUCAAACUCUACCAGACAUGCAUUCCUCGUCAUUCUCCGUGUUGUUCUAGUAAACUAACAUAUGGUGGAUCCCUUUCCUAUAGUGGACCACCCGCCAGAUUAAUUCAUUGUAUGUGAAAACUCGAGUGAUUUUCAGAAAACUUCCAUAUGGAAACAUCUUGUCCAGCCAGUCUGCAUCACAAACACAAAUUAGUAAAAUAAAGGGGUCCACUAUAGGUUAAUAAAUCCUGAUCUUUUAGUUGUUUCUAUCUGGUUCAUUAUAAAGUUAUUAUGAAUCGUUAAAAAAAAUCUAUUGAAUUUUCAUUGAUCUCUCGAAAACAAAAUCAAAAAUUUCCAGCAUUUUAUAUGAAUCAUACGUAGACAUACAAAGUAAAUAAUUGAAAUCCUCGAUGAAUUUUAAUAUGAGGUAACUAACACGAAAAAUGGAACCCAAAUUUUCCGCACACAGUUAUAAAUAGAUAUUUUGCUGCGUGAUAAAUAUGGUCAAAUUUUUUAACAUCAGACGAGCGGACGUUCUCAGUGACAGGUGCUACGCUGGAUUCAAGGAGAUUCAACCAAUAUGUCGCCUGGAACUCUGGGUUCAUUAACAUUCGUUCACAUGAACAAUCGGUUCUAGCCUAACUCCGGCCAUCAUCUCGAGAAACCACAUAUAACAAUCAGUGCAUAAAAUGUGCGAGGUAACCAGGAAUUUAAAAAAAAAAUUUUUAAAAAUCCAGGACGGGUCGGGUACGAGUCGGGUACCGGCAAUUUCGGGGUAUUUUUCUAUAGGGUACGGGUCGGGUACGGGUAGUUGGACAACAAAAUUUUCGGGUUCGGGUCGGGUACGGGUAUUUUAAAGAAACCCGACUUCGGGUUCGGGUCGGGUACGGGUUUGAAAAUUCUCGAUAAGUCGGGUACGGGUCGGAUACGGGUAACAAAUUUCCCAUACCCGACCAUCUCUACUACAAGUGUACAAUUAUAGUGUUUAUGAAGACAAUAAUAAACCUAACUUAAUUAGGCGAAAUCUCACACUCGAAACCAGAACCGUGUUGUUCGAUUCACGUUGUUUUUCAACCAUGACGUUGUUUAGGAUUUACUGUCUUAUGUUGGCUAACUUUUUUUCCGCACCUUCAUGUAUAUUCAUUGAAUAAUAUUGACAUCGAUUUUCUGGCAGCUGUUUUCAAUGUAAAUAAUCUCAACUAGGAAAAAAACAAAUACCUUGAAAAAGCUGUGUGAUAAACCUCGAUCCCACCCGCGGCAGGAAAUGCAGCCGCAGGAUAAAGAAAUUGGAAAACAUUCCAACAAAGUAACGGGACAUCUCUGGCGAUGCAAUUUCCACUUUCGGAACCGCUGCAACGGCAACCUUCAACCGCAGCAGCAGUACCUAAGAAUUUAACAACGGGAACUGGAACAUAAGAGGCAAUCAGUGUUUUCGCAAUGUAUUCCGCUGGUCGCUUUUGGAAGCGAUUCAACCGUAACAACGGUGGCGGACUUAAAGAAUCGCUCCUUGCGUUAUGGUACUUUCGGAAAUAGUGGAAAUAGUUAUAGUGUUCUGCUGCAAUAAAUCAGCCAGCUUCGGUGAUUACGAAGACUUAAAUAAAUGUUUUAACGCAGCGAC